AAAGUCCCAUCCGGCUAAAGCCGUAGCAGGCCAGCCGGGACCGAGUCUUGCGGGCGUUGCGGCAACGCUGGGGUCCGAAGUGUAGACCGUGCGGGGUGCGGAAUGAGCCUCGAAAGGUGGAUUUUCGCGGAGGCCGAGUGUGCUCCCAAGCACGAAGGCUGCAUGAGCAGUCCAUACGCGAGAAGAUGCCGCUCCGUCGGGGUGGAUGGCCG
rnacentral:ncRNA from 1 species